rnacentral:rRNA from 1 species
GGUGAGUAACACGUGGGCAACCUGCCUGUAAGACUGGGAUAACUUGCGGAAACGUGAGCUAAUACCGGAUAAUUUCUUUCUUCRCAUGGAGAGAGGUUGAAAGACGGCUUUGCUGUCACUUACAGAUGGGCCCGCGGCGCAUUAGCUAGUUGGUGAGGUAACGGCUCACCAAGGCGACGAUGCGUAGCCGACCUGAGAGGGUGAUCGGCCACACUGGGACUGAGACACGGCCCAGACUCCUACGGGAGGCAGCAGUAGGGAAUCUUCCGCAAUGGACGAAAGUCUGACGGAGCAACGCCGCGUGAGUGAAGAAGGUCUUCGGAUCGUAAAACUCUGUUAUCAGGGAAGAAUAAGUACCGUGUAACUAGRCGGUACCUUGACGGUACCUGACCAGAAAGCCACGGCUAACUACGUGCCAGCAGCCGCGGUAAUACGUAGGUGGCAAGCGUUGUCCGGAAUUAUUGGGCGUAAAGCGCGCGCAGGCGGUUCUUUAAGUCUGAUGUGAAAUCUUGCGGCUCAACCGUGAGCGGUCAUUGGAAACUGGAGAACUUGAGUGCAGAAGAGAAGAGCGGAAUUCCACGUGUAGCGGUGAAAUGCGUAGAGAUGUGGAGGAACACCAGUGGCGAAGGCGGCUCUUUGGUCUGUAACUGACGCUGAGGCGCGAAAGCGUGGGGAGCGAACAGGAUUAGAUACCCUGGUAGUCCACGCC